CCCUUAGAUGUUCUGGGCCGCACACGCGCUACACUGAAGGAGGCAGCGUGUACUCCUGGAUCGAAAGAUUUGGGUAACCCGCGAAUCUCCUUCGUGCUAGGGAUUGAGGUUUGCAAUUAUCCUUCAUGAACGAGGAAUUCCCAGUAAGUGCAAGUCAUAAGCUUGCGCUGACUACGUCCCUGCCCUUUGUACACACCGCCCGUCGCUCCUACCGAUUGAAUGGUCCGGUGAAGCGUUUGGACUAUGGUUUUCUGAUGGUCCGCCGUUGGAUUACCGUGGGAAGUUCGUUAAACCUUAUCAUUUAGAGGAAGGAGAAGUCGUAACA
rnacentral:rRNA from 1 species